GAGAGAGAGAGAGAGAGAGACGUAUGCCUGUAGCUUCCUCUGCUACUUCAUUCUAGAGACAAACAGUUUAGAAAAAGAGAGAGAGAUCCAAUGGAGUACGAGAGGAUACACAAAGUGCAGACUGGUAUAAUAUCUCCAAGUAAGCUGAGGAUGAAGCUCAUGGGACCUCACCAUAAUAGAAAGAAGGAUGGAUCAAACAGUAAUUCUUCAAGAACAUCUCCUUCAAGGCUCGAUGAUACUGAAUUUGACAAGAAUAGCUUAUUAGCCUCCAAUGAGGAGGAAGUUGCAGCUUCCAGCUUAGAAGUUUCAUCUGUCACUGUUCUGGGAGACGCAGUGGUUAACCCCAGCCAAGUUGAUCAGACAUCUUGCCAGCAAAAGGAUACGUUGCCAAAGGAAAAUGGCAACAUGGGUCGUGCUAAAAUGCAGCAAUUUUCAAAGGGUGAAAGUGGUAAUUCAAGUGCGGUUCACCCAAUGAGAUCACUUGAAGAUGAGAAUCUUGAUUAUGAUAGUAAUGCUAGUUCAUCUAGUUUUGAGUUCCAUAAGGAAAGAUCAGUACAUAAUCAAUUCACAAGAUCAUUUUCAAGGCCUAUGCCAUCUAAGUGGAAUGAUGCAGAGAAAUGGAUAAUGAAUAGGCAAAAUGUACAACCUAAUUUGAAGAAAAAUGGUUUAAACAACCAAGCUAAUCGGAUGCUUGGGACUAAUACAGUGAGAGUUGCUCCAGAAUCAGCAAAUCAUGAUCUUAAGUCUUCUAUUAGCAGGGUAGUAGACACUAAGCGCAUAGAUAUCUGUCAGCAUCCUUCACAAAUGGCAUUUGAGAAGUUUUCUUUUAUUCCCACUGGCGCUCCUUCAGUUUCUGGUCAAGCAUAUGGGGGGAAUCUGCUAAUUGAUCAGUGUACUCAAAGCAAGGACUUUCAGGAAGUGGAUCAAAGAGAACUAUGUAGUGCAAAAAGUUUGGCAGAAGAUGGAACAGGUAAGUUUGCAUUUAUACUGUGCUCUGAGUAAUAUUUAAAAGGAGUUUACGUUGAGAACCACAAAGCUUACUGCUUUGUUGUACAACUGAUUUAAUGCACUAACAAUUGUUGUGUUAACAGAAAAUGAUAUCAAAGUUCUUUUCUAAUUAUGCGUUCUUGUGGGAGUAUGCAUUUCUGCUCUGAGAACACUGUAUGAAAACAUCAAAUUUUCUCUGAUGCAUACUGGUAGUUUACGUUUAUUUUCCCAUUUGAUCCCCUUUAUCAAAAUAAUCGGGACAUUACAGUUUAUUGUUCCUAUGCUUGAUUAUUUUCUUCCCCACUCAUUGUUCCCAACUCUCCAUGUUUGUAGAAAUGCCACUGUAAAAUGAAUGCUAACACAACAUUGUUUAUUUGGGUACUUGCAAUCCUAAUUGUUUGGCUGUUGUGCAGCUGUGAAUGAACCAUUUAUGGUCUGUCUGGUCUUCAAAAUAGAUAUUGUGGUUUGAUGAUGGGUGAUGAUCAUCUUAAUAACUGAAACUUCUAAUUUAUGGGCUUGCAAAAGUAUAGUAGGGUAAUUCAGGGGAAUAGUAGAAUUAGUCUAAGAAGCCCACCCUGUGUCAUAAUCCCUUUUCAUUAUCUUUUUUGCACUCGAUAAUAUGAUGGUAUGACUUUGCAGUUCUUCCUGUUUUAAGAUCAGUCUGCAUGAGAGACAUGGGAACAGAAAUGACCCCUGUUACAAGUCAAGAGCCUUCAAGGACUGCUACUCCUGUGGGGGCAACAACUCCUCUCCGCAGCCCAACUUCUUCAAUCCCAUCUACUCCCCGGAGAGGGGCACCAGCUCCAACACCUAUGGAGCAUGGUACUGAUGAUGAUACACAAAACAUUCCUGAAAACGGCAGAAAAGAGUUGACCGAGCAAGAAAUGAAACUGAGGACAAGAAAGGAGAUUGUGGCCCUAGGUGUCCAGCUAGGCAAGAUGAAUAUUGCUGCAUGGGCAAGUAAAGAAGAACAGGAAAAGAAUACAUCUGCAGUUGAGAGUGCUCAUGUGGAUGAGCUUGAGCGGAUUGAAUAUGAAAAACGUGCAUCUGCCUGGGAAGAAGCUGAAAAAUCUAAACACACAGCAAGGUUUCUUCCACGACCUUGGCACUUGUGAACUAAAUUUAAAGCAGUAUUGUGAUGAACAUAUAAAGCAGUUCAAGUAAUUUUUGCUACAAGAUAAUAUUUUUUAUGUUUUUCAUCUGACAAAGCAUGCUUGAACCUUUCAGAUAUAAAGGUGAAGAGAUUAAAAUUCAAGCAUGGGAAAGUCAGCAGAAGGCAAAACUAGGGGCCGAGAUGCGGAGAAUAGAGGUAUUUAAAUGCCCUUUUGAUUAUGCAGAUGUAGUAGAAAUAUCUGUAACAUGAUCUGUAGUUUGUCCGCAUUGUUGUUUAAUGGAAUAAGCAGUUGUGUAGAUCAUUUGAAAAUUGCAAGAGAGAAAUUUGAUAAGGCCUAAAAUUUCUAGCAACUCCAUUACUAGCUUAGGUGAAAUCUAGGCAUCAAUCAUCACAAAUGAUUUACAGGGUAAUCAAAGCUUGCACUGUUAUAAACUCUGGAAUGAUUUUGGCACUUUGUAAAAUUUUGUGAAUCCUGCAAUUCAAAUGACUGCUGAGAUUGCUAUGUGGUAUGCGAAAAUUUUACCUUGUAAUUGAAAUUCACAUAUGAUCAGGCACAAGUUGAACAAAUGCGAGCCCAAGCUCAAGCAAAGAUGGUAAAGAAGAUUUCUAUGGUAAGGCAAAAAUCAGAAGAAAAACACACAGCAGCAGAAGCCAGGAAGAAUAGAGAUGCGGAAAGAACUGCAGCUCAAGCAGAGUAUAUUCGUCAGACAGGACGAAUGCCGCCAUCCCGUUACAUGUGCUGUGGUUGGUUGUCAUAAAACUGAAAACAUCAAAUAUUCAAGUAGAAAGAAUUUGCUCAUACAACUAAGUCAUUGAGCCAAAGUGGCAUCUCUUGUAUUUUGUUUUUGUUUUAUAGUUCAUUGAGUGCUGUCCACUUCCACUAUUUUUUGCUCAAUCUUGUAUCUAAUGGAGUGACCUUAGUUUGCAAGUUAGAAUGUAAAAUUUCUCUGCUUUUUCUGUAAGAUUUAACUUCAUUCAAAC
rnacentral:misc_RNA from 1 species